UACGAAGGGGACUAGCGUUGUUCGGAAUCACUGGGCGUAAAGCGCACGUAGGCGGAUCUUUAAGUCAGGGGUGAAAUCCCGAGGCUCAACCUCGGAACUGCCUUUGAUACUGGGGAUCUCGAGUCCGGGAGAGGUGAGUGGAACUGCGAGUGUAGAGGUGAAAUUCGUAGAUAUUCGCAAGAACACCAGUGGCGAAGGCGGCUCACUGGCCCGGUACUGACGCUGAGGUGCGAAAGCGUGGGGAGCAAACAGG
rnacentral:rRNA from 1 species